rnacentral:lncRNA from 1 species
GGUGCCCUUCUUCACCAACAAGGUGGUGGCGCAGAACCGCGUGGGGUGGGAGGAGGAGGCCCGGCUGGUGGUGGAGGACCUCAGGGCCGACCCGGCGGCGGCGACCAAGGGCGUGGUGGUGCGACGCAGGCUGCAGCUCAUGAUGUACAACGACAUGUUCCGCAUCAUGUUCGACCGCCGGUUCGAGACCGUGGCCGACCCGCUCUUCAACCAGCUCAAGGCGCUCAACGCCGAGCGCAGCAUCCUCUCCCAGAGCUUCGACUACAACUACGGCGACUUCAUCCCCGUCCUCCGCCCCUUCCUCCGCCGCUACCUCAACCGCUGCACCAACCUCAAGACCAAGCGCAUGAAGGUGUUCGAAGACCACUUCGUC